rnacentral:lncRNA from 1 species
UUUUCGUUUCCUCUUCUAUUGCUGCUGUUCCUCACGUUUUUCUUUGCAUUUUAUUUGGUUGGUUGAUGAAAAUGGAAUUCUAUGUGAGUUUUGGGUUGAAUAGAGCUUAACUUGAUGUGUGNGUGUUGUGGGUUUGGNUCUUUUCCUUCAUAUUUNGGUUUUGAUGUUUGAAACUAGUUUGGAACCAGACUUUGAUGAUGUUAUUGGGGAUGGACAGUGGUUGAGUUGAAUGGUAUAAUGUUAUUUUCGUUUUUUGCACAAGAGCUUGAAAAAAUGGAAGAUUGGGUUGAGUUGAAGUAGUAGUAGUGUGGGUUUAUUGUCUUGAAUGGAGUUGCAACUUCAAAUGGGGUCUCUUGGGUGCUCAUUCUUGGUAUUGAGGAGAGGAAGAAAGAUUAUGAAGGUGUGUGUUGGUGAAGGAAACGAAAAUGGUNUGUAGAAAGGAGAGAGAAUGAUGCAUUAAUUUUUUACCACUUUUGGGCAAACAAAAAAUAUGCUCAUUUUCAUUCUAGGAAGAUUUCCAUUUUGAGCUUUGGCUUUGUUUGAAUUCCAGCCAUGAAUUGCCUUUGCAU